rnacentral:lncRNA from 1 species
GCCAGAUGACCAGAUGAACCAGCCCAAGUCCUUUACUGCCGUGGUAGGUUCAAAAUUCCAACAAUCAUUUUUUUUCUCCUAAUAAUCCGCAUAAUUAUAGAAUAUUAUGGUAGUAUGAUUACGUGGUAUAUUUUGUACACGUGUUAUAAUAUGGGUUGACGACAUGAUUUAUUUUCCCCUCUUUUAAGGAAUAGUAUCAAUGAAUAUCCACUUAUAUUAUAACACGUGUACAAGAACAAGAUGCGUGCUGCUAUUUCCACUCACUUGUUAUAUUUUCC